AUUGAACGCUGGCGGCAGGCUUAACACAUGCAAGUCGAGCGGAGAUGAGGUGCUUGCACCUUAUCUUAGCGGCGGACGGGUGAGUAAUGCUUAGGAAUCUGCCUAUUAGUGGGGGACAACAUUCCGAAAGGAAUGCUAAUACCGCAUACGUCCUACGGGAGAAAGCAGGGGAUCUUCGGACCUUGCGCUAAUAGAUGAGCCUAAGUCGGAUUAGCUAGUUGGUGGGGUAAAGGCCUACCAAGGCGACGAUCUGUAGCGGGUCUGAGCGGAUGAUGCGCCACACUGGGACUGGGACACGGCCCAGACUCCGACGGGAGGCAGCAGUGGGGAAUAUUGGACAAUGGGGGGAACCCUGAUCCAGCCAUGCCGCGUGUGUGAAGAAGGCCUUAUGGUUGUAAAGCACUUUAAGCGAGGAGGAGGCUACUGAGACUAAUACUCUUGGAUAGUGGACGUUACUCGCAGAAUAAGCACCGGCUAACUCUGUGCCAACAGCCGCGGUAA
rnacentral:rRNA from 1 species